GACGAACGCUGGCGGCGUGCUUAACACAUGCAAGUCGUACGGUAAGGCCCUUUCGGGGGUACACGAGUGGCGAACGGAUGAGUAACACGUGAGUAACCUGCCCACAACUUUGGGAUAACGCUAGGAAACUGGUGCUAAUACUGGAUAUGUGCUCCUGCUGCAUGGUGGGGGUUGGAAAGCUCCGGCGGUUGUGGAUGGACUCGCGGCCUAUCAGCUUGUUGGUGGGGUAGUGGCCUACCAAGGCGGCGACGGGUAGCCGGCCUGAGAGGGUGACCGGCCACAUUGGGACUGAGAUACGGCCCAGACUCCUACGGGAGGCAGCAGUGGGGAAUAUUGCACAAUGGGCGCAAGCCUGAUGCAGCAACGCCGCGUGCGGGAGGACGGCCUUCGGGUUGUAAACCGCUUUCAGCAGGGACGAAGCUUUUUGUGACGGUACCUGCAGAAGAAGCACCGGCUAACUACGUG
rnacentral:rRNA from 1 species